GUUACCGUAGCUUAAACAACUCAAAAGCACGGCCCUGAAGUUGCCGUAAUGGACGCACCAAAAUCCCGGAAACA
rnacentral:tRNA from 1 species